ACUCUCUUGCUUGGCAGAUACACAAGGACUUAUGCCAACAAAAUGACAUUUGCUACUAUAAAAGCAAGUCUUUCUUUUUUUUUAACCUAAUGUUAAAUUAUAUUCAAAAGAAAAAUAACGUUUAUACAACGAGUGCAACGAAGUUUGAAAGUUAUUAGAAUUUAAAAGGAAUCAAAAAUCAAAAGUUGGAUUUAAAUUUUGCCCCGAACCAGAAUUGUAAACCUUUAUCGUAUCUUCGGUCCCCGCUUGCUCUAAUAGCAGAGAGUCUUUCUUCUUUCCUAUUUUAUCUACUCGAUUAUU
rnacentral:sRNA from 1 species